rnacentral:rRNA from 1 species
AACGAACGCUGGCGGCAUGCCUAACACAUGCAAGUCGAACGGGAUCCUGGUUUCGGCCAGGUGAGAGUGGCGGACGGGUGAGUAACGCGUGGGAACCUGCCCAGUGGUGGGGGAUAACUGCGGGAAACUGCAGCUAAUACCGCAUGAGCCCGAAAGGGGAAAGAUUGAUCGCCAUUGGAGGGGCCCGCGUUCGAUUAGGUAGUUGGUGAGGUAACGGCUCACCAAGCCUUCGAUCGAUAGCUGGUCUGAGAGGAUGAUCAGCCACACUGGGACUGAGAUACGGCCCAGACUCCUACGGGAGGCAGCAGUGGGGAAUAUUGGACAAUGGGGGCAACCCUGAUCCAGCAAUGCCGCGUGAGUGAUGAAGGCCUUC